UACGGGGGGGGUAAGCGUUGUUCGGAAUUACUGGGCGUAAAGGGCUCGUAGGCGGCCAACUAAGUCAUACGUGAAAUCCCUCAGCUUAACUGGGGAACUGCGUGUGAUACUGGAUGGCUUGGAUUUGGGAGAGGGAUGCGGAAUUCCAGGUGUAGCGGUGAAAUGCGUAGAUAUCUGGAGGAACACCGGUGGCGAAGGCGGCAUCCUGGACCGGUAUUGACGCUGAGGCGCGAAAGCCAGGGGAGCAAACGGG
rnacentral:rRNA from 1 species